rnacentral:lncRNA from 1 species
CAGGGCUUUGUAACGUACACCUUGUUAAUCGAGAAUGAAAAGGAGAUUUUUGUUACCUUGUCCGCACUUUGCGUCAAAUUGUCGCCUGCCGAACUUCUUUCAUUCACUAUUGUUAUUGUUGUAUUCCCCUCCUUUUUUUUGUUCGAUGCCGAUGUUGUCUGGAGGUUCCUGAUCAUCGCCACGUCGGCUUGCUUUUCUUGUCAUCUUUCUUCUUCAGCCUCAAGGGCUCUGUAAUGCAUACUUAGU